rnacentral:rRNA from 1 species
UACAGAGGGGGCGAGCGUUGUUCGGAAUUACUGGGCGUAAAGGGCGCGUAGGCGGCCUUCUAAGUCGGACGUGAAAUCCCUCGGCUCAACCGAGGAACUGCGUCCGAUACUGGUUGGCUUGAAUUCGGGAGAGGGAUGCGGAAUUCCAGGUGUAGCGGUGAAAUGCGUAGAUAUCUGGAGGAACACCGGUGGCGAAGGCGGCUCCCUGGACCGAUAUUGACGCUGAUGCGCGAAAGCCAGGGGAGCAAACGGG